GACGAACCGAGCGAACGUUGUUCGGAAUCACUGGGCUUAAAGGGCGCGUAGGCGGGCUGCCAAGUCCGGGGUGAAAUCCUCCGGCUUAACCGGAGAAUGGCCUCGGAUACUGGCGGCCUCGAGGGAGGUAGGGGCGUGCGGAACUGUGGGUGGAGCGGUGAAAUGCGUUGAGAUCCACAGGAACUCCGGUGGCGAAGGCGGCACGCUGGACCUUUUCUGACGCUGAGGCGCGAAAGCCAGGGGAGCGAACGGG
rnacentral:rRNA from 1 species